UUGCUCUGUUGAACUUUUCCCAACAUGGUGAAAAUCAUAACAUUUAUUCUAAAUAUUUUUAUUACAGUUAUUUGCUCUACUUUCCCCUCUACGAUCCGUUCCGACCAAAAGGUUUUUGGCACAUCGUGUAUAUUCGCUGAAAUGAUGCUGCUUACUCUCGGUUGAACUUCCACCAACUCUCUCGGUGCCUCUAAGUCUAGUGUGCAUGAAUGUCAUGAAGAAGCUGAUAAUCUGAGCACAUCUGAACUUCUCUGUUCUUCUGCUUCUUCCUCAAGGGUCCAACGAGUCUGAGCAUCUGCAUCAGAGUCUUGAGGUACGAGAUGCUGCUGUGCAAGGCCUGCUGCUGCAUGUUGCAGCGCGUGGAGGAGAUCGCUUUGUGUGCCGAGUUCCUGCAGCUCCCUGCGGAGGAGCGUGGUGAUGUUAUGGAAAAAGACGAGCUUGUAUGAAAGAAGAGAAAGAGCUGUAUAUUUCAGUUUUCUGGGCCCGGUCCUUAAAAUCUCUGAGAUUUAACUUUUGGUCGUGAGUAACCAGGAUGAAGACAGACAGGUGAGAUUGAACGGAGGAAGCUGGUGGGUUGAAGAUGUGUGAGCUCAAAAAGGAAGAGCGGCGUGUUUGUGGUGAGAGCUGGAAUCAAUCCGCCUGUCAUCCGUCUCAGCCUUACAGUGACUCCCUCUGUGCUGGUGUGUGAACUUUGCCUCCUCUUACUCAGCCUGUCAGUUCUACGGCUCCGGACUGACGCUUCUGAUCUGCUACUGGACAAAAGUUACAGGAGGAGAGUUUUAUUACUAACAAGGCCAAGGUUUUCACUAGAGCUGGGCGGAUUGAUCCAAAAUAUGGAUAAUAUUGAUACCAAAUGGAUAAAAAUCAAUACUUUAGUUUCAGAUUCUCCCUUGACAGAGUUUCUCAACUCUACCAAAAAAGAUUCUGUUUUGAUUCCUCGUUUGUCUUUGCAUUUUGUUUAUACAAGAAAAAAAGCACAAAAAUAGAUUAUAAUGUUAUGCUAUUAAAAUAUUUUUGCAGAUGUUGCACCCUUAAAAACGCUCAUAGAUUUUAAACUUUAUUAAACAAAAUCCACGGUUCGAGCAGGCAGCGUGUGUAGCUUUCUCUUUACAGUACACAAUCACGGGUCAUGAACUUUCUACUCCCAUCAUGCAUUGCGUCGCUCUUAAAGUGGCAUUGUUAUGACCGAAAUCUGUGAAAUAAAAAAACGAAAUGAUUCAUAAAUUCAUAAACUAAAUGAAUUGUUCCAACCAAAUACUAAAUUAAAUAGAUGCUUAGCCACUCAGAUCAAUAAUAUACCAAUUAAUUGAACGUUAUCAUCUUCCUAACAUAUUUUCAGGGCUCUAAACAGACAACUCCAAACUUUGUCCAAAUUCUGUCCUAGAUUUUAACAAAAGAUG